CAAAUUACCCACUCCCGGAACGGGGAGGUAGUGACAAAAAAUAACGAUACGGGACUCGAUAUGAGGCCUCGUAAUCGGAAUGAGUACACUCUAAAUCCUUUAACAAAAAUCUAUUGGAGGGCAAGUCUGGUGCCAGCAGCCGCGGUAAUUCCAGCUCCAAUAGCGUAUAUUAAAGUUGUUGCGGUUAAAAAGCUCGUAGUUGGUUCUGCGUCCCGCGCUGUCGGUACACCGUUUGUCGGUGACACUGGCAUGACGCGGGAUGUCCUGUCGGUGGCGGCGGAGACCAUAUCGUCGUCGGAUAACACCGCGGCGUGUUGGCCUUCUGUCGCCGGCUAUAUCCUACCGCGGUGCUCUUCACUGAGUGUCGAGGUAGGCCGACACGUUUACUUUGAACAAAUUAGAGUGCUUAAAGCAGGCAAAAAUCUCUGCCAGAAUAGUGGUGCAUGGAAUAAUGGAACAGGACCUUGGUUCUAUUCUGUUGGUCUCCGGAACACAAGGUAAUGAUCAAUGUGGACAGGCGGGGGCAUUCGUAUUGCGGCGUUAGAGGUGAAAUUCUUGGAUCGUCGCAAGACGCACUAGAGCGAAAGCAAUUGCCAAGUAUGUCUUAAUUGAUCAAGAACGAAAGUUAGAGGUUCGAAGGCGAUCAGAUACCGCCCUAGUUCUAACCAUAAACGAUGCCAGCCAGCGAUCCGCCGAUGUUCCUUUGAUGACUCGGCGGGGAGCUUUCCCCGGGAAACCAAAGCUUUUGGGUUCCGGGGGAAGUAUGGUUGCAAAGCUGAAACUUAAAGGAAUUGACGGAAGGGCACCACCAGAAGUGGAGCCUGCGGCUUAAUUUGACUCAACACGGGAAACCUCACCAGGUCAGGACAUUGGAAUGAUUGACAGAUUGAUAGCUCUUUCUGAU
rnacentral:rRNA from 1 species